GAGACCGGGCAGCAGCUGCGCGUCCAGCUGGAAUUCCCUCGCCAGGAGAACCCGGAGGUGGUGGCCCUCAGGUUGGCUCACUGUGACCUUGGGACCCACCACAGCCUUCUCGUCAGGCAGCUGAUGGAGGCGUGUGCCAGGCUGCGGCAGCUCAGCUUGUCCCAGGUUAACCUCUGUGAUGACGGUGAUGCCAGCGUCCUGCUGCUGCAGAGCCUCCUGCCGUCCCUGUCUGAGCUGAAGACGUUCCGGUGGGCAGACGAGGCGCUCUCCCCGCCCCUUGCAGCCCGGCCCUUCCCCCGCCCGUCGGCCCCCAGCCCAAGGCUCGGAGGACCCUGGGUCCCGCCCUGUGGACAAGAACCACAGGUGGUUUUGAGGUGGUGUCAGGGGUGCACGGUGACAGGCACGACCUUAGCAACACUGAGCCACACGGCAAGAAACUUAUUCCCUUUUCAAUGCCCUUUCUUUGUUUUCUCUUGAAAUAAUUGCAAGCUAAUA